rnacentral:lncRNA from 7 species
UCAAUGCUUAAUUGCAAGUCAAUGUUGUAAUUCUUGAGAAGAAGUCAUGGAAGCUUAUAAGAAGAAAGGAUGGGCUCUAACAAAUCCUUUACCUAAUUUACCAGGUAUAUCAACUAUUUUACCUAGAUUUAUUCAGGAAAGUUUACAUUUAGCCUUUCUUUGGGAGAAUCUUACUUUUUAACUUAUGGUGCACAAUUAGUCC